AGCACGGCCGGGCGGUCCCGCCGCGGGCCCGGCAUGAUUGCCCAGAUGAAGUUAAACCCCAGAAUUCAGCAGACCCGGAUGAAUCCCCGGGAACAAACCCUGCUCCGUGGCUGCCAGCUCCUUGGACACUCCUGGAAUCACUUCAAACUCAAAGAGAAACUUUUGACAAACACUCCCUCAAAAACUGGCUGAUACUUGCUUGGCCUCUAAUCCUUGCUGAGCUGUUUCCCCGUUGCUAAUCUCUCCCAGGAACCAUUAAUAAAUCUUUGCUGGUUUGCAACGCUAAUUCUGGACAAAGGCACCAGGAACCAGCAGUGCCUGGGCCUGUGUCCCUGUUGUUUGCAUGCUCUGCAGGAAGAUUGUUUGGCUUUUAAUGAAGUUAAUUAAAAAGAAACAAAAAAAUAAUAAAUCAA